AGAAAGAGUUUGAAUUUGCUGAAACCCUUCUGCAGCCCUUGAAUUGUGGAGCAAUUACCCUGACCAAUUUUUGAAAUAUGUUGCCUAGGGCCGAAUCCUUUGACGUACAAGUGCUGACCUGGAUGACAGAAGAAGACAGAUUUAAAGUUUGUUCUAAAGAAAGAGAUAAAGACAAUGCAAAAAUAGAAAAGAUUUGUUUUUUUCUUUCUCAUCCCUUGAAGUGCUGAGAAUAAGAGGUGUGUGCUUAUGACAAUAGCAGAGAGAUCAUUUCAGACAAAGCACACUUUGCAAAAAUAAUGUGUUUUAAUUCAAUCAAAAACUGUUUUUCUGAAGACUUUUUAUCACCUAUUUCCUACAAAUAAUGUUUCAGAAGUCACCAUACUUACAUGUCACAACAGAAAAAAACAUCACUCGCAAUUUUCCAUUUUUGCUUAAUAAAGUGCAUUAGAUAUCUGUGUGCUCCCUUUUUGCAUGUUCACUUCAUUUGAUAUUGUAAAAUUAUGUAGUAGU